AGCUUGCUCCCGGAUGUUAGCGGCGGACGGGCGAGUAACACGUGGGUAACCUGCCUGUAAGACUGGGAUAACUCCGGGAAACCGGAGCUAAUACCGGAUAGUUCCUUGAACCGCAUGGUUCAAGGAUGAAAGACGGUUUCGGCUGUCACUUACAGAUGGACCCGCGGCGCAUUAGCUAGUUGGUGGGGUAAUGGCUCACCAAGGCGACGAUGCGUAGCCGACCUGAGAGGGUGAUCGGCCACACUGGGACUGAGACACGGCCCAGACUCCUACGGGAGGCAGCAGUAGGGAAUCUUCCGCAAUGGACGAAAGUCUGACGGAGCAACGCCGCGUGAGUGAUGAAGGUUUUCGGAUCGUAAAGCUCUGUUGUUAGGGAAGAACAAGUGCGAGAGUAACUGCUCGCACCUUGACGGUACCUAACCAGAAAGCCACGGCUAACUACGUGCCAGCAGCCGCGGUAAUACGUAGGUGGCAAGCGUUGUCCGGAAUUAUUGGGCGUAAAGGGCUCGCAGGCGGUUUCUUAAGUCUGAUGUGAAAGCCCCCGGCUCAACCGGGGAGGGUCAUUGGAAACUGGGAAACUUGAGUGCAGAAGAGGAGAGUGGAAUUCCACGUGUAGCGGUGAAAUGCGUAGAGAUGUGGAGGAACACCAGUGGCGAAGGCGACUCUCUGGUCUGUAACUGACGCUGAGGAGCGAAAGCGUGGGGAGCGAACAGGAUUAGAUACCCUGGUAGUCCACGCCGUAAACGAUGAGUGCUAAGUGUUAGGGGGUUUCCGCCCCUUAGUGCUGCAGCUAACGCAUUAAGCACUCCGCCUGGGGAGUACGGUCGCAAGACUGAAACUCAAAGGAAUUGACGGGGGCCCGCACAAGCGGUGGAGCAUGUGGUUUAAUUCGAAGCAACGCCGAAGAACCUUACCAGGUCUUGACAUCCUCUGACAACCCUAGAGAUAGGGCUUUCCCUUCGGGGACAGAGUGACAGGUGGUGCAUGGUUGUCGUCAGCUCGUGUCGUGAGAUGUUGGGUUAAGUCCCGCAACGAGCGCAACCCUUGAUCUUAGUUGCCAGCAUUUAGUUGGGCACUCUAAGGUGACUGCCGGUGACAAACCGGAGGAAGGUGGGGAUGACGUCAAAUCAUCAUGCCCCUUAUGACCUGGGCUACACACGUGCUACAAUGGACAGAACAAAGGGCUGCAAGACCGCAAGGUUUAGCCAAUCCCAUAAAUCUGUUCUCAGUUCGGAUCGCAGUCUGCAACUCGACUGCGUGAAGCUGGAAUCGCUAGUAAUCGCGGAUCAGCAUGCCGCGGUGAAUACGUUCCCGGGCCUUGUACACACCGCCCGUCGCACCACGAGAGUUUGCAACACCCGAAGUCGGUGA
rnacentral:rRNA from 1 species